GGAAGUAAAAGUUAACAAGGUUUCCGUAGGCGAACCUGCGGAAGGAUCAUUACUGAGUGAGGGCCCCUCGGGGUCCAACCUCCCACCCGUGUUUAACGAACCUUGUUGCUUCGGCGGGCCCGCCUCACGGCCGCCGGGGGGCAUCUGCCCCCGGGCCCGCGCCCGCCGAAGCCACCUGUGAACGCUGUCUGAAGUAUGCAGUCUGAGACAAUUAUUAAAUUAAUUAAAACUUUCAACAACGGAUCUCUUGGUUCCG
rnacentral:misc_RNA from 1 species